GACUCAGGAAAGAAGCAAGGCUUCUCCUUUUCCUUCAGUAAUCUAGGAAGAGAACGUUCCUCUCAAUUUAAUUGUUACAGGACUGAGUUCUGAACUGGGAUUCAGGGACACAGCACUCUAAAUUUCUUAAAAGCCAAAUCUGUGUCUUCAUUUUUGUCUCCCCCACUCUGCUAGGCUUACAUAUGUGUGUAGUCUCUCAGUUUCAUCCAUGUGAUCCCAUGGACUGUAGCAUACCAGACUCCUCUGUCCAUGGAAUAUUCCAGCCAAGAAUACUGGAGUAGGUUGCGCUUCUCCAUGACAUCUUCCUGACCCAGGGAUCGAACCUGCAUCUCCUGUAUUGCAGGCAGAUUCUUUACCAUCUGAGCCACCAGGGAAGCCUGCUAGGCAUGUAGUAGGCACUCAGCUAAUACUAGUUGCAGAAACACCAAAUGAUCAGAAUUUUGUUGCAGACCAGUUUCAGUGUGGAGAACUGAUUGACUCGCAUGGGUCUCAUUUUCGUCCUGCCUAUCAAAUAAAACACAGACUAGAUGGCAUCAAACUCCUUUUCAUGUCUAAACUUCAGUGAUGCCUCAAAGGUCAGCCUGAGAUGAUCCAUAGGCUAGUUUCCAAAUCUCUAAAUCUCUAGGUUAGUAUGAAGCUGGGUUUUUAGAAAGAAAUGAACACUCUCACUCUGAACCCCUGGAGAAGGAUUUCUAAGACGGGGAAGGAGGCACAGUAUCUCAAAAUCAACUUGCACUGGUUUCAAAUUGGGAAGUUGGAUUUCACAUUCUUGUGAUGAAUUUCUUUGUACUUUGGUCUUUAGAUGAUGACUGAUAACAUCUAUGAUCCUACUGGGGAAGCACAUUUUAGAUAAUUUUCCCAAAUGUCUUUAUAGGUUAUAUUUCCAGAGAACCUGUUGCAACACGGAGUACAGAGACCGCUGUCACUUUGGACUCACCAGGUUAUACUUCCAGAGAACCUGUUGCAACACAGCGUACAGAGACCACUGUCACUUGGGAUUCACCAGGUUAUACUUCCAGAGAACCUGUUGCAACACAGCGUACAGAGACCACUGUCACUUG
ensembl:lncRNA